GACGAACGCUGGCGGCGUGCCUAAUACAUGCCAGUAGGACGCAGUUGCGAACGGGUGAGUAACGCGUAGGUAACUACCUAUUAGAGGGGGAUACCUAAUGGAAACGAUAGCUAAUACCGCAUACUAGUAGAUGGACCUGCGUUGUAUUAGCUAGUCGGUAGGGGAAGUGCCUACGUAGGAAACGAUACAUAGCCGACCUUGUAGUGUGGUCGGCCACAUUGAUACUGAGAAAUGCCCCAGACUCCUAUGGGAGGCAGCAGUAGGGAGGCUUCGGAAAUGGGGGGAACCCGGACCGAGCAACGCCGCGAGAGUGAAGAAGGUUUUCGGAUCGUAAAGCUCUGUGGUUAAUGAAGCGGUACUUAACCAGAAAGGGACGGCUAACUACGUGCCAGCAGCCGCGGUAAUAC
rnacentral:rRNA from 1 species